GAUGAACGCUGGCGGCGUGCUUAACACAUGCCAGUCGAGCGAGAAGUUUUGAAAAGAUUCUUCGGAUGAAAUUUAAAAUGGAAAGCGGCGGACGGGUGAGUAACGCGUAGGCAACCUGCCCCAUACAAAGGGAUAGCAUUUGGAAACGAAUAUUAAUACCUUAUGAAACUUAACUAGUGCAUGCUAGGUAGGUCAAAGAUUUAUCGGUAUGGGAUGGGCCUGCGUCUGAUUAGCUAGUUGGUGAGGUAACGGCUCACAAAGGCGACGAUCAGUAGCCGACCUGAGAGGGUGAACGGCCACAUUGGAACUGAGACACGGUCCAAACUCCUACGGGAGGCAGCAGUGGGGAAUAUUGCACAAUGGGGGAAACCCUGAUGCAGCAACGCCGCGUGAACGAUGAAGGCCUUUGGGUCGUAAAGUUCUGUUCUAGGUGAUGAAAACUGACAGUAACCUAGGAGAAAGCCCCGGCUAACUCCGUG
rnacentral:rRNA from 1 species